UACGUAGGGACCAAGCGUUGUUCGGAUUUACUGGGCGUAAAGGGCGCGUAAGCGGCAAUUCAAGUCAUCUGUGAAAUCUCCGGGCUUAACCCGGAACGGUCAGGUGAGUACUGUUUUGGCUAGAGUGCGGAAGGGGCAAUCGGAAUUCUCGGUGUAGCGGUGAAUGCGUAGAUAUCGAGAGGAACACCAGAGGUGAAGACGGGUUGCUGGGCCGACACUGACGCUGACAGCGCGAAAGCCAGGGGAGCAAACGGG
rnacentral:rRNA from 1 species